rnacentral:piRNA from 1 species
UAGCCUUUUGCCUCUGCUCACC